rnacentral:sRNA from 1 species
UACCUUUAUGUUGCCUCGGCGGAUCAGCCCGCGCCCCGUAAAACGGGACGGCCCGCCGCAGGAACCACAAAACUCUGAUUUUAGUGUAACUUCUGAGUCUAAAAAACAAAUAAAUCAAAACUUUCAACAACGGAUCUCUUGGUUCUGGCAUCGAUGAAGAACGCAGCAAAAUGCGAUAAGUAAUGUGAAUUGCAGAAUUCAGUGAAUCAUCGAAUCUUUGAACGCACAUUGCGCCCGCCAGUAUUCUGGCGGGCAUGCCUGUUCGAGCGUCAUUUCAACCCUCAAGCCCCCGGGUUUGGUGUUGGGGAUCGGGCUGUACUCCAGCCCGGCCCCGAAAUCUAGUGGCGGUCUCGCUGCAGCCUCCAUUGCGUAGUAGCUAACACCUCGCAACUGGAACGCGGCGCGGCCAAGCCGUUAAACCCCCAACUUCUGAAUGUUGACCUCGGAUCAGGUAGGAAUACCCGCUGAACUUAAGCAUAUCAAUAAGCGGAGGA